UACGUAGGGGGCGAGCGUUGUCCGGAUUUAUUGGGCGUAAAGAGCGUGUAGGCGGCCAGGUAGGUCUGCUGUGAAAACUCGAGGCUCAACUUCGAGCUGUCGGCGGAAACUAUCUGGCUAGAGUCCGGAAGAGGAGAGUGGAAUUCCUGGUGUAGCGGUGAAAUGCGCAGAUAUCAGGAAGAACACCCGUGGCGAAGGCGGCUCUCUGGGACGGUACUGACGCUGAGACGCGAAAGCGUGGGGAGCGAACAGG
rnacentral:rRNA from 1 species